GGCGGUGGCCAGCGACAAGGGACUCUGAGUUUGCUUUGAGCACUAAGUGCCUCUUGUUGCAAAGAACUUAUCUUGAUGGGGGCAGAUGCUCUCAUAGCCUGGUCCCUUCUCUGUCCCCCUUGUCCUCUCACAGGUGUCUUCGAGGGGCAGGCAGCCCUGAGGACUCUUAACUGCCUGCACGGUACUAGCUGUCCCGGUCCGCAGCUGGGAGGGAAAAAGAAAGGAGGAAGCCUCACCCAUCAGGUGGCCGGUACUAAGGUGCAGAGAUGCGCUUGGUGCAGAGGGACGACCUCCUCAUCAUCACGGAGCCCAAGUGCAUGGUCAUGUCUGUCGUUAUCGCCCAUGGAGAGAAGAGGUCUUAAGAUGCACCUGCUGACCUGCUGAUAGUUUGGGGAAAGAAGUGUCUGAUGCUACACUUGCUACAUGGUUGGGGGCUUAUCAAAGCCCCCAUAGGGGAGAGCAGGAGAUCCGCACAGGCGCAGGCGGAAACUAUCAGCUCCUGGGAGAGGACCACGCAGACAGAGUAGGGGAAACAGCCCUGGGGCUCCCACUCAGGAAGCUUUUCUCCUCUCGUUGGUUGAGAACGAAUAGAGUGUAACCAUCACCUGGGACAGUGGGGAAUGUUUUACUCAGUAAGCCCAACAAAGCUUCAAGACAAAAACCCAAAAGACCAAAGUUUGCAAAUGAGUUUCCUGCUAGCCACCUCAAGACACAUAUACUGGUAAGACUUAAAACAUUUCUUUCUCAGCACCUAUAAGAAGCAAAAUGGACAGGGUCUAGCCCCAGCCACCAAAGAAGAAGGGAGAAGGGGUGCUCGUAACGAGGAAAAUAGCAGUCUGUGGGACGUGACCCAGAAGUCCCUGGGUGAUAGAAUCGAUAGGGUUGCUGAUCGUGUUACAGGCACACACGGAGUCUCCAGUCACUGGGAGAAAGAGUGAACGCGUUGAACAGAGACAGGCCUCUGCUUCCCUCUCCCUUCGGGAGUCAGUGUCAGCACCCUAGACACAGCCCUGCCACCUCCCCCAGGGCAGUUCCUGCUGGGUGAAUGUCCAGGCCCUGCCUGCCUCCCCCUGUGACUGUUACCUAAUGCGGUGCACCAGCAAACCCACUAGCAUCCAAGUACAUGGAAGUGAGUGGGUAUUUCUGUGAUCCGAAGUCUCGUUUAAGUGUCCCUUCAUGUUCACCAGUUGAGCAGCAGAAUACCCUAGGAGUGACACAGCAGUGGACCAGAGUAUCUUCAAUGCAGACUGAACUUUGGAAACUAGAAGGCGUUUCAGAGCUUGUUUGCAGCGUUCUGUCAAUUUUCUACUGUACAGCAAGGUGACCCCGUCACACAU